CGGUGAACCACUUCGGUGGGGAUCAGUGGCGAACGGGUGAGUAACACGUGGGCAACCUGCCCCUGGCUCUGGGAUAACUCCAAGAAAUUGGGGCUAAUACCGGAUAUGACCGCUGACCGCAUGGUCUGGUGGUGGAAAGAUUUAUCGGCUGGGGAUGGGCCCGCGGCCUAUCAGCUUGUUGGUGGGGUAGUGGCCUACCAAGGCGACGACGGGUAGCCGGCCUGAGAGGGUGACCGGCCACACUGGGACUGAGACACGGCCCAGACUCCUACGGGAGGCAGCAGUGGGGAAUAUUGCGCAAUGGGCGGAAGCCUGACGCAGCGACGCCGCGUGGGGGAUGACGGCCUUCGGGUUGUAAACCUCUUUCAGCAGGGACGAAGCGAGAGUGACGGUACCUGCAGAAGAAGCACCGGCCAACUACGUGCCAGCAGCCGCGGUAAUACGUAGGGUGCAAGCGUUGUCCGGAAUUAUUGGGCGUAAAGAGCUCGUAGGCGGUUCGUCGCGUCGGCUGUGAAAACCUGAGGCUCAACCUCAGGCCUGCAGUCGAUACGGGCGGACUUGAGUUCGGCAGGGGAGACUGGAAUUCCUGGUGUAGCGGUGAAAUGCGCAGAUAUCAGGAGGAACACCGGUGGCGAAGGCGGGUCUCUGGGCCGAAACUGACGCUGAGGAGCGAAAGCGUGGGGAGCGAACAGGAUUAGAUACCCUGGUAGUCCACGCCGUAAACGUUGGGCGCUAGGUGUGGGGGCCAUUCCACGGUCUCCGUGCCGCAGCUAACGCAUUAAGCGCCCCGCCUGGGGAGUAC
rnacentral:rRNA from 1 species